GACGAACGCUGGCGGCGUGCUUAACACAUGCAAGUCGAACGGAAAGGCCCUGCUUUUGUGGGGUGCUCGAGUGGCGAACGGGUGAGUAACACGUGAGUAACCUGCCCUUGACUUUGGGAUAACUUCAGGAAACUGGGGCUAAUACCGGAUAGGAGCUCCUGCUGCAUGGUGGGGGUUGGAAAGUUUCGGCGGUUGGGGAUGGACUCGCGGCUUAUCAGCUUGUUGGUGGGGUAAUGGCUUACCAAGGCUUUGACGGGUAGCCGGCCUGAGAGGGUGACCGGCCACAUGGGGACUGAGAUACGGCCCAGACUCCUACGGGAGGCAGCAGUGGGGAAUAUUGCACAAUGGGCGGAAGCCUGAUGCAGCAACGCCGCGUGCGGGAUGACGGCCUUCGGGUUGUAAACCGCUUUCGCCUGUGACGAAGCGUGAGUGACGGUAAUGGGUAAAGAAGCACCGGCUAACUACGU
rnacentral:rRNA from 1 species